AUCACAACAACGAUUCAAGACUUAUUUCCCAAAGUGAUGAAGAAAAUGAGGGUUUCCAUAACUUUGGGCUGCUGCUUUGUUUCUUUUCUCCUUGGUCUCAUCUGUGAGACUCCGGCUAGAAUUUACUGGGUUCAUCUGAUUGACCACUGCUGUGCUGGAUGGGACAUUUUAAUUGCAGCUAUACUGGAGCUAGUAGGAAUCAUCUGAAUUUAUGGAGGGAACAGAUUCAUUGAGGAUAUAGAAAUGAUGAUUGGAGCAAAGAGGUGGAUAUUCUGGCUAUGGUGGAGAGCUUGCUGGUUUGUUAUUACGCCUAUCCUUUUGA